rnacentral:piRNA from 1 species
UGAAACCUCACUUGUAGAGGCAAAAAUGC